GCCGCCCCUCUCUUCUUUUCUUCCCUUUCUCUGUCUCCUCUGCGUUUCUGUUGACGAAGAACUGAACCUGGGUAAUCGAAGAUAGUGAAGAUGAAAGUGAUCCGACCAAGGAAAGAAGAAGAUUUGUUAGGUACCCCAAAAGGAGUUUUAGGGUUGAGCUUUUCACUAGUAACAAAUACACUUUUAUCAUGAUUUGGAUUUGAAGUAUAUUGGUCUGGACAUGUUGACUAAUAUGAUUAUGUAAACCAAGAUGCUGAAUUUGUUUUGAUUUACUCCUGAUAACAUACCAUAGCUGAUUACCAAUGAUGAAGAGUUCUUUUCAAUGUGGAACAAGGCUGAAUAUCAAGAUGAUGGUUAUGUGCAUCUUUACUUCAAUAUUAGUGACAAGGUCUUGAGGUCUGGUGAUGAAUGACCAUAAUCUUUAGGGGUUACUAAUAAAGUUAUGUAUUUAACACCUACUAAGAAGGUGACAAGUGACUCUGAGAUGGUGUUUUCUACACCUAAGAAUAAUGUGACACAUGAAGAUGACUUUGCGUUUUCUACACCUAAGAACAAAGUUGUUAGCAAUUCAAAAUUAGCUUCUCCUGCUACUAGGAAAAGUACAAGGUUGGUUUGUAAGUCAAUUGAUGCUCAAAUAAAUGCUGCAUUUGAGAGGUUACUUUUGAAUGAUGAGGAUAUGUGCCACCCGGAUGAUAAUGUGGAUGUAGAGUGUGAGAACAUUCAACUAGAUAAUGUGGAAUAGGAUCUGUGUCAUCCAGUUGAUGAUGAUAGAAGUCCACCAUGCUCUGAUGAUGAGGAGAAUGAUAUUGACAUAGCUGGUGUCAGAGAUUUUGUUGACAGUUACUUUAAUGAUGAGUUCUGGCAGAACUUUAGAAAGGAAGGUAAUGCUGAAGCUUUUAGUAAUGUAUCUACAAACCAUUCAAAAUAGUUGCAGAUGGAGCAGUUAAAGAACUUCUCACCAGGAUGAUCAGCAGUUUGAGACAACAACAUUCUCCUAACACCAUUGCAAGAUUCAAAAAAAAUGGAAGAGAUGGUGGUUUUAUAGUACAUGGAGCAUAUUAUGACCGUUCAACGGUCAUAUUUGGGUGACAGAGCUGACGUGUCAGAUUUGCCAUGUCAUCAUGGAUGAUGUAUACAAGUAUCCACGUGUAAAGGUUCCACGUCAGCUUGUACAGUUAACUACCAAUAGUUAAAUGUUGAGGGCAGAUUUGUCCAUAUUUGAGUGUAAAUACGUGUGACGUGGCAACGAAUUUUUGAAAACAAAAAUUCGGAUGGGAAAACUUAACAGAGGUAUAUAUUUUUAAUUCUGUUUGAAAGAGUGGCAUAUUUGUAAUUACAAUUAUAAAGAGGGA